rnacentral:rRNA from 1 species
UACGUAGGGUGCAAGCGUUGUCCGGAAUUAUUGGGCGUAAAGAGCUCGUAGGCGGUUUGUCGCGUCGGCUGUGAAAUCCCGAGGCUCAACCUCGGGCCUGCAGUCGAUACGGGCAAACUAGAGUGUGGUAGGGGAGACUGGAAUUCCUGGUGUAGCGGUGAAAUGCGCAGAUAUCAGGAGGAACACCGGCGGCGAAGGCGGGUCUCUGGGACGGUACUGACGCUGAGACGCGAAAGCGUGGGGAGCAAACAGG